rnacentral:rRNA from 1 species
UCGGGAAUUUUGGGCAAUGGGGGAAACCCUGACCCAGCAACGCCGCGUGAAGGAUGAAGUAUUUCGGUAUGUAAACUUCGAAAGAAUAGGAAGAAUUAAUGACGGUACUAUUUAUAAGGUCCGGCUAACUACGUGCCAGCAGCCGCGGUAAUACGUAGGGACCAAGCGUUGUUCGGAUUUACUGGGCGUAAAGGGCGCGUAGGCGGCGCGGUAAGUCACUUGUGAAAUCUCUGAGCUUAACUCGGAACGGUCAACUGAUACUGUCACACUAGAGUACAGAAGGGGCAAUCGGAAUUCUUGGUGUAGCGGUGAAAUGCGUAGAUAUCAAGAGGAACACCUGAGGCGAAGGCGGGUUGCUGGGCUGAUACUGACGCUGAGGCGCGAAAGCUAGGGUAGCAAACGGGAUUAGAUACCCCCGUAGUCCCUGAGCGGGCUGGCAAGGCGCAU